AACAAACGCUGGCGGCGUGCCUAAUACAUGCAAGUCGAACGGGGAAAGCUUUCGGGUGAGUACUAGUGGCGCACGGGUGAGUAACGCGUGGAUAAUCUGCCUUAGAGUGGGGGAUAACUAGUCGAAAGAUUAGCUAAUACCGCAUAAGACCACAAGAACUGCGGUUCAAGGGGUCAGAGGUUUUUCGCUCUAAGAUGAGUCCGCGUAAGAUUAGCUAGUUGGUAGGGUAACGGCCUACCAAGGCGACGAUCUUUAACUGGUCUGAGAGGAUGAUCAGUCUCACUGGAACUGAGACACGGUCCAGACUCCUACGGGAGGCAGCAGUAGGGAAUAUUGCACAAUGAAGGAAACUCUGAUGCAGCGACGCCGCGUGAGUGAUGAAGGCCUUCGGGUCGUAAAGCUCUGUCGCAGGGGUAUAACACAAUGAAGGUACCCUGUAAGAAAGGAACGGCUAACUUUGUGCCAGCCGCCGCAGUAAAAC
rnacentral:rRNA from 1 species